rnacentral:rRNA from 1 species
GACGAACGCUGGCGGCGCGCCUAAUACAUGCAAGUCGAGCGAGAACCGGGGCUUCGGCCCUGGGGAAAGCGGCGAACGGGUGCGUAACACGUGAGCAACCUGCCCCGAAGACCGGGACAAGCCGGGGAAACCUGGUCUAAUACCGGAUGUCCUCGGCGGAUCGCAUGAUCCGGCGAGGAAAUGGAUUCCGCUUCGGGAUGGGCUCGCGGCCUAUCAGCUUGUUGGUGAGGUAACGGCUCACCAAGGCUUCGACGGGUAGCUGGUCUGAGAGGACGAU